UACAGCCAUAACACAUUGUAACACCAGUUCUCAUACAAUCACCAAAGUUAAGCAAUAUCGAGCCUGGUCAGUACAUCGAUGGGUGACCACGUAGCAAUACU